UACGUAGGGGGCAAGCGUUGUCCGGAUUUAUUGGGCGUAAAGAGCGUGUAGGCGGCUUGGCAAGUCCGCUGUGAAAACUCGAGGCUUAACCUCGGGACGUCGGUGGAAACUGCCUGGCUAGAGUCCGGAAGAGGAGAGUGGAAUUCCUGGUGUAGCGGUGAAAUGCGCAGAUAUCAGGAAGAACACCCGUGGCUAAGGCGGCUCUCUAGUACGGUACUGACGCUGAGACGCGAAAGCGUGGGGAGCGAACAGG
rnacentral:rRNA from 1 species